AAAAUCAAAAAUGCAAGUCCGACGAGAGACCUUCGGGUCUCUAGUGGCGAACGGGUGAGUAACACGUAGGGAACCCGCUAACGCACCGGGAAUACGCUCUGGAAACGGAGAACAAAUCCUGAUGUACAGGAAGGAGGCAUCUUCUUUCUGUGAAACAUCCUUUAGGGGAUGGGGCGCGGAUGGACCUGCGGUGCAUUAGUUGGUUGGCGGGGUAAAGGCCCACCAAGACGAUGAUGCAUAGCCGGCCUGAGAGGGCGGACGGCCACAUUGGGACUGAGACACGGCCCAGACUCCUGCGGGAGGCAGCAGUAGGGAAUUUUCGUCAAUGGGCGCAAGCCUGAACGAGCGAUGCCGCGUGAGUGAAGAAGGCCUUCGGGUCGUAAAGCUCUGUUGCGGGGGAAAAAAGGCAGCAUCAGGAAAUGGGUGCUGACUGAUGGUGCCCCGCCAGAAAGUCACGGCUAACUACGUGCCAGCAGCCGCGGUAAUACGUAAGUGGCGAGCGUUAUCCGGAAUGAUUGGGCGUAUAGGGUGCGCAGGCGCUCCUGCCCGUCUGGAUUGACACGCCUGAGCUCAACUCAUGUAUGUUUUUUGGAAACUGGAAGACUGUAAAUCAUGACAGUGCGUGGUACAGCCCUGCGCACCCGUAACCGUUAACUAUCUCGCCCCACCCCCCUCCGGAGUAUUGUUUUUUUAUUUCUUCUCCUUUUUUUUAGCCUUCUUUCUACCGACCCAUCCCUUAUAUUUUUCUAC
rnacentral:rRNA from 1 species